GAUCCUGGCUCAGAUUGAACGCUGGCGGCAGGCCUAACACAUGCAAGUCGAACGGUAACAGGAAACAGCUUGCUGUUUCGCUGACGAGUGGCGGACGGGUGAGUAAUGUCUGGGAAACUGCCUGAUGGAGGGGGAUAACUACUGGAAACGGUAGCUAAUACCGCAUAACGUCGCAAGACCAAAGAGGGGGGACCUUCGGGCCUCUUGCCAUCGGAUGUGCCCAGAUGGGAUUAGCUAGUAGGUGGGUAACGG
rnacentral:rRNA from 1 species